rnacentral:rRNA from 1 species
GGGUGACUGCGUACCUUUUGUAUAAUGGGUCAGCGACUUAUAUUCUGUAGCAAGGUUAACCGUAUAGGGGAGCCGCAGGGAAACCGAGUCUUAACUGGGCGUUAAGUUGCAGGGUAUAGACCCGAAACCCGGUGAUCUAGCCAUGGGCAGGUUGAAGGUUGGGUAACACUAACUGGAGGACCGAACCGACUAAUGUUGAAAAAUUAGCGGAUGACUUGUGGCUGGGGGUGAAAGGCCAAUCAAACCGGGAGAUAGCUGGUUCUCCCCGAAAGCUAUUUAGGUAGCGCCUCGUGAACUCAUCUUCGGGGGUAGAGCACUGUUUCGGCUAGGGGGUCAUCCCGACUUACCAACCCGAUGCAAACUACGAAUACCGAAGAAUGUUAUCACGGGAGACACACGGCGGGUGCUAACGUCCGUCGUGAAGAGGGAAACAACCCAGACCGCCAGCUAAGGUCCCAAAGUCAUGGUUAAGUGGGAAACGAUGUGGGAAGGCCCAGACAGCCAGGAUGUUGGCUUAGAAGCAGCCAUCAUUUAAAGAAAGCGUAAUAGCUCACUGGUCGAGUCGGCCUGCGCGGAAGAUGUAACGGGGCUAAACCAUGCACCGAAGCUGCGGCAGCGACACUAUGUGUUGUUGGGUAGGGGAGCGUUCUGUAAGCCGUUGAAGGUGGCCUGUGAGGGUUGCUGGAGGUAUCAGAAGUGCGAAUGCUGACAUAAGUAACGAUAAUGCGGGUGAAAAACCCGCACGCCGGAAGACCAAGGGUUCCUGUCCAACGUUAAUCGGGGCAGGGUGAGUCGACCCCUAAGGCGAGGCCGAAAGGCGUAGUCGAUGGGAAACAGGUUAAUAUUCCUGUACUCGGUGUUACUGCGAAGGGGGGACGGAGAAGGCUAUGUUGGCCGGGCGACGGUUGUCCCGGUUUAAGCAUGUAGGCGGAUGUUCCAGGUAAAUCCGGAACGUCACUAACGCUGAGGUGUGAUGACGAGGCACUACGGUGCUGAAGUGACAAAUGCCCUGCUUCCAGGAAAAGCCUCUAAGCAUCAGGUAACAUCAAAUCGUACCCCAAACCGACACAGGUGGUCAGGUAGAGAAUACCAAGGCGCUUGAGAGAACUCGGGUGAAGGAACUAGGCAAAAUGGUGCCGUAACUUCGGGAGAAGGCACGCUGAUGGUAAGUGAAGCGACUUGCUCGUGGAGCUGAAAUCAGUCGAAGAUACCAGCUGGCUGCAACUGUUUAUUAAAAACACAGCACUGUGCAAACACGAAAGUGGACGUAUACGGUGUGACGCCUGCCCGGUGCCGGAAGGUUAAUUGAUGGGGUUAUCCGUAAGGAGAAGCUCUUGAUCGAAGCCCCGGUAAACGGCGGCCGUAACUAUAACGGUCCUAAGGUAGCGAAAUUCCUUGUCGGGUAAGUUCCGACCUGCACGAAUGGCGUAAUGAUGGCCAGGCUGUCUCCACCCGAGACUCAGUGAAAUUGAACUCGCUGUGAAGAUGCAGUGUACCCGCGGCAAGACGGAAAGACCCCGUGAACCUUUACUAUAGCUUGACACUGAACACUGGUCCUUGAUGUGUAGGAUAGGUGGGAGGCUUUGAAGUGUGGACGCCAGUCUGCAUGGAGCCAUCCUUGAAAUACCACCCUUUAAUGGCUGGUGUUCUAACGUGGGCCCCUAAUCGGGGUUGCGGACAGUGUCUGGUGGGUAGUUUGACUGGGGCGGUCUCCUCCUAAAGAGUAACGGAGGAGCACGAAGGUCAGCUAAUCCUGGUCGGACAUCAGGAGGUUAGUGCAAUGGCAUAAGCUGGCUUGACUGCGAGCGUGACGGCGCGAGCAGGUGCGAAAGCAGGUCAUAGUGAUCCGGUGGUUCUGAAUGGAAGGGCCAUCGCUCAACGGAUAAAAGGUACUCCGGGGAUAACAGGCUGAUACCGCCCAAGAGUUCAUAUCGACGGCGGUGUUUGGCACCUCGAUGUCGGCUCAUCACAUCCUGGGGCUGAAGUAGGUCCCAAGGGUAUGGCUGUUCGCCAUUUAAAGUGGUACGCGAGCUGGGUUUAGAACGUCGUGAGACAGUUCGGUCCCUAUCUGCCGUGGGCGCUGGAGAAUUGAGGGGGGCUGCUCCUAGUACGAGAGGACCGGAGUGGACGCAUCACUGGUGUUCGGGUUGUCAUGCCAAUGGCAUUGCCCGGUAGCUAAAUGCGGAAGAGAUAAGUGCUGAAAGCAUCUAAGCACGAAACUUGCCCCGAGAUGAGUUCUCCCUGACUCCUUGAGAGUCCUGAAGGAACGUUGAAGACGACGACGUUGAUAGGCCGGGUGUGUAAGCGCAGCGAUGCGUUGAGCUAACCGGUACUAAUGAACCGUGAGGCUUAACCUUACAACGCCGAAG